rnacentral:rRNA from 1 species
CUUUACUGUAGCCUGGUAUUGGGUUCGGGCUUUGACUGCGCAGGAUAGGUGGGAGACUGAGAAGUGUGCCUUGUGGGGCACAUGGAGUCAACGGUGAGAUACCACUCUGUCAGAGCUAGAAUUCUAACCUUCACCCGUAAUCCGGGGAAGGAACCGUAUCAGGUGGGCAGUUUGACUGGGGCGGUCGCCUCCUAAAAGGUAACGGAGGCGCGCAAAGGUGUUCUCAGGCUGGUUGGAAAUCAGCCGUAGAGUGUAAAGGCAGAAGAACGCUUGACUGUGAGAGUGACAACUCAAGCAGGGUGGAAACACGGCCUUAGUGAUCCGACGGUAUGCGCGUGGAAAGGCCGUCGCUAAACGGAUAAAAGUUA